GACGGGCGGUGAGUACAUCCCGAAUACCCUGGGCGACACGCGCGCGGCAAUGCUGCAUUCAAAGGGAUGCGACACCGAGAGGUGAAGCUAAUCUCAUAAACUGCAGCCUAGUUCAGAUUGAGGAUUGCAACUCAUCCUCAUGACGCUGGAAUUCGUAGUAAUCGGGUUUUAUCAGAGCCCGGUGAAUAGGUCAAUGCCCCU
rnacentral:rRNA from 1 species